rnacentral:lncRNA from 1 species
CAUGAAGCAAUGCGCAAAAUGAAGAAUGAAUUUAUGGUGAACUGGGAUGGCUUGCGUACAAAAGAUAAGGAACGUGUACUAGUACUUGGAGCAACCAAUAGACCUUUCGAUCUUGAUGAGGCUGUAAUUAGAAGGCUUCCCCGGAGGUUAUAUCUUUUCCAAAUUCAUACCUUUUGCAGUACUCAUCCUCCCAGAAACCCCAUCCAGCAUUUUUUUAGCAUAUGGACAGUUUGGAGUUACUCUAGUUUGUUAAUUUUGUUUGUGUCCAAGUGCAGGCUGAUGGUGAACUUGCCAGAUGCUCAGAACAGGGAGAAAAUUUUAAAAGUGAUAUUAGCAAAGGAAGAGUUGGCUCCAAAUGUUGAUCUCGAAGUAGUUGCUAACAUGACAGCAGGGUAUUCAGGUAGUGAUCUAAAGGUAUGUGGCCUAUUUUUUCUGAUUAUGUUAAAAUUAUUUUUUAUUAUCACCAUUUCUUCUAAUGGUUGCAAUACAUCUGUUCUUACAUGUUAAUUAUUUUAAUUUUCCAGAAUCUCUGUGUGACAGCUGCACAUUGCCCAAUAAGAGAAAUUUUAGAGGAGGAGAGGAAGGUUGGUAUGCUUUAAUUGUAUCUUUUUAUCAUUUAAUCUCUCUUUGUUUAGGCAGAAUUUUAUAUCUAAAGUUGUUUCUGUCAAGAACAUACUGAUACGAAUCAGCUGAGUUGAGUUUGAGCAUUUUAUUUUUCUGUCCUCUUUCUUUUCUCUUGAAAGUUCAUGCUUUGUGUUUUGAUCUUUUCAUCGAAAGCAUGCUGAAGUUUUCAUUCUAUAUUAUUAUUCAUGUGCGACUGUUUUUAUGUGCAUUUUUGUUUUAAUAAAAAAUUUUAUAUCUAAACUUGUAGGAGAAAGUCUUGGCACUGGCAGAGAGCAGACCAUUGCCUGAAUUGCAUAGCAGUGCAGACAUUCGUCCCCUGAGUACGGAUGAUUUUCGAUAUGCACAUGAACAGGUAUGUUUGUUUCUGUUACCGUGUGUACAUGUACUUGGUGAAUGUAAUCGUUGCCUUUUCUUGUUAAUCAAGAGAAAUUCACUGUUUAUGUAUGAUAUGAGAAAUGAAAAGAUUUCUCUGGGCAUGACUCCUUCAAAAUAUUGAUUAUAAGCUUCCCACCAACCAGAAAUGGCCAAAAUUGGAAUUCUUGAUUUCUUUUAGAAGCGAAUGAGAGGGAAAAGAGGCAGGCUGGGAAAAAUUGCCUUGAAGUAUAGGAAUUCAGGGUAGUUGUAUUGGCAGGAAAUAAAUUUGGAUAAAUGAUCUUAUGGUGCAUCUGUUCAUAGUCUUGCUUCUUACUCAAUUUUGCUUGGUUGUAUGGGCCCGGUAUGAAGCUUUCUUGUGAAUGUUGUUAUCUAUCUUGACUUGGUACUGGUACUAGUACUAGUAUUUUCUUUGUUGCUGUCAGAAUAUUGUCCUUGUUUUUCAGCUGGUGCAAACUUUAUUAAUAUAUCAAUGUCAAGCAUCACAUCAAAAGUACAUUUUCUUAGUCACCCUUGAAAUUUAGCAUUUCUUAUAGUCAUCUCCCCUUUUUGAGUAAUGUUCUUUUUCUUGCAUUCAGUGGUUUGGUGAAGGAGAGAAAUAUGUCAAAGCAGUCUUCUCAUUGGCUAGUAAAAUAGCCCCUAGUGUAAUUUUUGUUGAUGAGGUUGGUAUAACAUCUCUUAAAUAAAUUAAUGCUUCUUGAUUAAUUGCUGUUCCUUUCAAUUUUUCCAUGUUGGUCUGUGUGUAGGGGUGUGUGUGUGUGUGUGUGUCUGAACUUUUUGCUUUCUCUUGUCCACGUAUACUGUGCCUUAGAGAGAAGAAGGGGGAGGUUAAUUUAUUGGGGACAGCCAACAUUUUUUUGUUUUCUUAUUUUGCUUCACGUGAUGAUAUAAUAUUCUGCUGUUGUCAAAUUUCCUGUUUGUUUUUCUUAGCCCUUGUUUGAGCACCAUUAUUUAAAACUCAUUUUCAACUACACAUUCAUCCAAUAAAAUAAUUUUGCAUGUUAACUUAACUUUUUUCUUAAAUUCACUUUUUACGAAAUCUAUCUCAAAAAUGCGGCUCAAACAAAGGCUUAUUUUUUUCUCCCUUUUCUUUUUAAAUAGCCUUUUAUAUAUGUUCCUAUAGGUCGACAGUAUGUUAGGAAGACGUGAAAACCCGGGAGAACAUGAAGCAAUGCGCAAAAUGAAGAAUGAAUUUAUGGUGAACUGGGAUGGCUUGCGUACAAAAGAUAAGGAACGUGUACUAGUACUUGGAGCAACCAAUAGACCUUUCGAUCUUGAUGAGGCUGUAAUUAGAAGGCUUCCCCGGAGGUUAUAUCUUUUCCAAAUUCAUACCUUUUGCAGUACUCAUCCUCCCAGAAACCCCAUCCAGCAUUUUUUUAGCAUAUGGACAGUUUGGAGUUACUCUAGUUUGUUAAUUUUGUUUGUGUCCAAGUGCAGGCUGAUGGUGAACUUGCCAGAUGCUCAGAACAGGGAGAAAAUUUUAAAAGUGAUAUUAGCAAAGGAAGAGUUGGCUCCAAAUGUUGAUCUCGAAGUAGUUGCUAACAUGACAGCAGGGUAUUCAGGUAGUGAUCUAAAGGUAUGUG